GCGAGUAAUCGGUCAAGAGUAUCCGAUUUAAGUGUUUAUACAAUAACUUGAUUUGACAAUCCAACAUAAUAGGAUAAUAUGCAUCAUAACUGAGUGUUCGCAGCGGAAAUAGAACGUGAUACAUGUAUGAAGACAUGUAUUGCCAAGAGUUUAUUUAGUAAAUAUGACAAAGCUCCGCACGACACCCCAUCAUCACUCAUCACUGCUCAACCUGCACAUUUAGAAUACAUGCAGGGCUGAGUACAAGUACUCAGUAGACAUAUACCGAAAAUCAUAUACAUACAUAAUAAAUGUAAAUUGUCAUGCCAUUUCAAUAGUAUAACCAAGGGUUUUUACUUAAAAGGCCCUAAGCAUACUAAAUUCAUUUGUGAUUCUAAAGUUCGUCUGAUCAGACUAAGUUCUUUUGUAAUCUAUCAUAUCUGAAUCUGUAUGCCGGAGAGGUGGCCACCUCUCACGGUCACUUGACCGGCCAACCCGCUAGAUGACUCACGGUCACUGGUGUACACUAGCCAAGGCAGGAUAGCUAUCAACUGCUCAAGACCCGAAUUCGAUUACAUGAUAACUGGCAAAGCCAUAUCAGAUAGAUAUCAUACUGAAAUUAAAACAUUUUAUGGCAAGACAAUACUUGAAUUAACUUCAAUUCAAAGAUUUUGUCAUGAAAUAACUUGCUUGAACGUAACAGUUAAAUUCAUUUGAUAUAUAUGAAAGUAAUGCCUACCUGAUUGCAGUGUUUGCUACUUAAGACAAUGAUUCUCUU
rnacentral:lncRNA from 1 species